rnacentral:misc_RNA from 1 species
AAUUCUCAACUAUUAUCAACUUUUGCUGAUAAUGGCUUGGAUAUGGGGGUUUAUUUUGCUGGCUUCUUCACAGAUGGUCAGCUCCCCUUAAAUGCAUUAGCCGGUGCCCCGCGUGGACUGUCUAUUGGUGUGAUAAUUAUCUACGCCGUGGACAUCUGCAAUUAUAUGGGUUUGCACUGCUUCUAACUGUCUGUUCAUUCAGACAAUACAUGACAA